AACCUAGCACACCUGCGGUGUGUACCUGCGGAAGGAUCAUUACAGAGUUAUCCAACUCCCAAACCCAUGUGAACUUAUCUCUUUGUUGCCUCGGCGCAAGCUACCCGGGACCCCGCGCCCCGGGCGGCCCGCCGGCGGACAAACCAAAACUCUUGUUAUCUUAGUUGAUUCUCUGAGCGUCUUAUUUAAUAAGUCAAAACUUUUAACAACGGAUCU
rnacentral:misc_RNA from 1 species